rnacentral:lncRNA from 1 species
UCUCUUCCUUCUCCACUCCAAAUUCGUUUUUUUUCUUCAACAAACCAACAUCCAAAUUGUUUCUUCCAUCUCCAAACCGUGAACACACUCCAAGGAACCCAAAGCUCAAUUGCCAAAUGAUUCAAGAACAAUAAAACCAAGUUCUACCUUCAUAAAUCCAACUUCAAAACACACUUUCUUCAACUUUUUGACCUAAACAAAACCAAACCCCUAUGCUUCCUAUGCAAUACCGUCCAGCCACCAUCAUCAAGCACAAAGUCCAGCUCCAAAUUUGUUUCCCAACAUCAAAAACAAAAUGCUAGAAGAAAAUGGCUCAAGAAUACAAUACCCAUGCAUCAACUUAAGCCUUUUUCACUACCACACUUGACAACAACUCCAUUUUCUUCCUCCAAUCCAAGAAACUCAAAAUAAAAGCAAGAUUACUGCAGCAAAAUGAGUAGGAAACCGAAAUGGACAAUGGGUCUCCCUUCCACCAAAGAAACCACCAUGAAAAAGCAAAGAAGAAGCUUCAAACUCAAGCAUUCAACCUCCAAAACGAAAAUCUAAAGAGAGAAAUGGUAGAGCUUCGUUCCAUCAAGCAAGAACAAGCAUUUUUGCAAACAAUAGAAGAAGAAAAACAUGAUCUUGUUCAUUCAUGGUUGAAGAAACGAAAAUAGCACACCAAGGCUCUAAGAGAGAGUUCAUACAAGGCAAAGCUAAAAUGAAAGUGUAGAAUGAGUGUGCUUCUUGGAGUGUCUCGGCAAUUGGCUCAAAAUGCUGUCCAAAACCACUCAAAAAUGGUGGGGACCACCUCUAAGAAACCCUAGGUUAAGUGCCACAUGUCCCUCAAAGUUUGGGCCUAACAUAGAAUUUGCCCACAUGGGCCCAAUGCACCAAAAGCUUAAGUAAAGUUCUUAAUCAACUAAAUUACAAUUUUAAUUAAAUUAGCAAUGACUAAAUAUUAAAUCUUGAAUGUCCAUGCCACCUCCUAAUGCUCCAAACUAUGUCUCCAACAUUUU